rnacentral:tRNA from 1 species
CAAAACGUAGCUUAACAUUCAAGCACUCAGCUUACACCUGAGAGAUGCCUGCUCUGAUCCAGGUCGUUUUGA